rnacentral:lncRNA from 1 species
CGGCCCUGCCUCCAACCAGCCGCCCAAUCCCGGCUCCNNCGCUCCCGGUGCCUGGGGUGGGCUGCGCAUGCUCAGCAGUGGGGCUGGGUGGUCAGGGCCUCCUGCGCGGCGCCGGGGUGUGCUGCGCAUGCUCAGCAGCGGCGUUGAGGGGUCGGCGGUCAGCUCCCAGCGCCUGUGGUGUACUGCGCAUGCUCAGCAGCGAAGUUUACGGGGUCGGUGGUCGGCUUGUCCCGGCUGGGCCCGGUGUCAGCCCUGCCUCUGUAACGCUAGCUUUGCAAGGCGGGGCUAGGCUUUGCACCGGUGUCCCGUUGCUUGCACAGCACCAGUCCAGAUCCGCUCACCUCCUUUUUUUUUUUUUUUUUUUGAGAUGGAGCCUCGCUCUGUCACCCAGGCUGGUGUCGCAAUCUUGGCUCACUGCAACCUCCGCCUCCUGGAUUCAAGUGAUUCUCCUGCCUCAGCCUCCCGAGUAGCUGGGAUCACAGGCAGAACUGGUCUGACCACAAAUUUACCAGGGUGGAGUUUUUCCCCACCUUAGUAAGCCUGAGGGUACUGCAGGAGACCAGGGCGUAUCUCAGUCCUUAUCUCAACCGCAUAAGACGGACAUUCCCAGACCAGCUGUUUAUAGACCUCCCCCCAGAAAUGCAUUCCUUCCCCAGGGUAUUAAUAUUAAUAUUCCUUGCUAGG